GAUGAACGCUGGCGGCGUGCCUAAUACAUGCGAGUCGAGCGAACAGAUGAGGAGCUUGCUCCUCUGACGUUAGCGGCGGACGGGUGAGUAACACGUGGAUAACCUACCUAUAAGACUGGGAUAACUUCGGGAAACCGGAGCUAAUACCGGAUAAUAUAUUGAACCGCAUGGUUCAAUAGUGAAAGACGGUUUUGCUGUCACUUAUAGAUGGAUCCGCGCCGCAUUAGCUAGUUGGUAAGGUAACGGCUUACCAAGGCAACGAUGCGUAGCCGACCUGAGAGGGUGAUCGGCCACACUGGAACUGAGACACGGUCCAGACUCCUACGGGAGGCAGCAGUAGGGAAUCUUCCGCAAUGGGCGAAAGCCUGACGAAGCAACGCCGCGUGAGUGAUGAAGGUCUUCGGAUCGUAAAACUCUGUUAUUAGGGAAGAACAAAUGUGUAAGUAACUAUGCACGUCUUGACGGUACCUAAUCAGAAAGCCACGGCUAACUACGUG
rnacentral:rRNA from 1 species